rnacentral:rRNA from 1 species
AUUGAACGCUGGCGGCACGCCUAACACAUGCAAGUCGAACGAGUGGCGGACGGGUGAGUAAUGUCUGGGAAACUGCCUGAUGGAGGGGGAUAACUACUGGAAACGGUAGCUAAUACCGCAUACCAUCGGAUGUGCCCAGAUGGGAUUAGCUAGUAGGUGGGGUAAAGGCUCACCUAGGCAACGAUCCCUAGCUGGUCUGAGAGUAUGACGAGUCAUACUGGAACGGAGAAACGGUCCUGACUCCGACGGGAGGAAGCAGUGGGGAAGCUUUCAAAAUGGGCGCAAGGCUGAUGAAGCCACGCCGCGUGGAUGAAGAAGGCCUUCGGGUGGUAAAGUACUUUCAGCGGGGAGGCGUUACCCGCAGAAGAAGCACCGGCUAACUCCGUGCCAGCCGCCGCGGUAAUUC